UGCUUGCCCCAACAGGUGUACGUCUUCAUUGGCGUUCGAGGCUUUCCGCGUGGCUCUGUUUCCUUGCUCCACGAAGAGAGAACAAUCCAAAGAGAAAUCAAGAGAGAGAGAGAGAGAGAGAGAGGUAUGUUAUCAAAAUGAAAAUUAACUUAGAAUCAGCGAGUGUGGAAGAGGAGGGAUUUACUUGAUGUCCUGCAAAUAUUCGUGUUACGCCAUUUGCAGAGAAGAGCGUGCCAUCGCUGUUGAGGCCAAAGAACAAGUCUCCUAGGGCAAAACCAUUUGGAUUAUGCGGACCAAGAGAAAAAGAGAACAGGGGAAGAAGGGAAAAAAGAAGAAAUUCAGAGGAAGAACAAAAGAAGGAAAAGAAGUGACUCUCCCUCUCUGGCGAGCCAUAUCCUUAAUGGCCUUAAAUGAUCUGGCCAACUAUUUUUUCUUCACUGGUCAACACUCUGUAGUUGAGCAACUAACUGAGACAGCACUUGCUAUCACCAACCAUGGACCAACAAGGUCACAUUCCUACUACAGUUUAGCACGAUCUUACCAUAGCAAGGGACUGGCUAUGAUAAUGCCACUUCUGAAGUUGCUGUAAGUAAUCUAAUUAACUUAUUUGAUAAUUCCUACUACAGUUUAGCACGAUCUUACCAUAGCAAGGGACUGGCUAUGAUAAUGCCACUUCUGAAGUUGCUGUUUUAGGUUUUUCGAUAGGAAUCAAGUCUGCCACAUUAUGGUUGAAGAUACCUAUCUAAAACAGGUUUUAGGUUCUUCGAUAGGAAUCAAGUCUGCCACAUUAUGGUUGAAGAUACCUAUCUAAAACAGGUUUUAGGUUCUUCGAUAGGAAUCAAGUCUGCCACAUUAUGGUUGUUUUAUUUCUAGGUUGAAGAUACCUAUCUAAAACAGGUUUUAGGUUCUUCGAUAGGAAUCAAGUCUGCCACAUUAUGGUUGAGGAUAUGAGAUUGAUAAUCCAUAACUUGGGGAAAGUUCUUCUCACACAGGGAUGUCAACGUCAGGAUCUGUAAAUUUGCUGCUACUUUCAUUCAUUCUAUUCUUGGCAUUUUGUAUUACUUUGGUUUAUAUCCCGUCAUUUUAAUGUUGUAUAGGGAAACUAGACUCUGGAACAUGCAAAGCUCAAAGCUAGGGUGGAGAUUUUACAGAGAAAUCAAAGUCAUUUUAUGGGGGAAGACCUCCAAUCCUUGAGUAUGAAAGAGCUUCAGAAUUUGGAGCGGCUACUUGAUUCUGCUCUGAAGCACAUAAGCUUUGCAGUUGGUGAUGGCUUCCAUAGUUCCAUUGCUGUGAUUGAGCUUUCAGUUUUUGGUUUGGUUACAUUGAGCAGGAGAUAGAGAAAUCAAGUAACCAUACCAAAAAUUCCUUGAAUAGAUUCAGUGGAUUGCAUUAUGAAGUCCAAAAUCUAACCAUAAGGAAAUACUCGAACUGAUUUCUUGAGUGUAGAUGUUCAUGUUACGGCAAAAACUUCGAUCGCAAAAUUUGAGGAAAUGUGGAUGCAGCUUCUGCCUAAAGUUACUGUAUAGGAAAAGAGACUAGAAGAGGAAGAUGCAGAAGCACAGUUAAAUAUGGAGAUCACUAAAGGGGCUGCUCAUGCUAAAAUGGCUAGAAACUUACGCAACAAGUUGAUGUCCAUCACAUUCAAGAGCAAAUGAGGUCCUCCCUGGCACAGAAGAAGCCUCACAAGCUAAGAACUAACCACGUGUAAUUUGUUUAUAAACAUCAUCUUUGGUUAGGAAUUUGAAAAUUGUAAAAAUGCCAGCUCCUGCUGAAACUUCCAAAUUUUGAAAUAUGUAUGUAUACCAGUCUGAUUAAAACACUAGAUUUUACAUAUUGUAAAACAAUAAUAAAUUUAAUUAACAUUUUUUACAUUA